rnacentral:rRNA from 1 species
AACGAGACCUUAACCUGCUAAAUAGCAAGGCUAGCUUUGGCUGGUCGCCGGCUUCUUAGAGGGACUAUCGGCUCAAGCCGAUGGAAGUUUGAGGCAAUAACAGGUCUGUGAUGCCCUUAGAUGUUCUGGGCCGCACGCGCGAUACACUGACAGAGCCAACGAGUUCAUCACCUUGUACGAAAGGUCUGGGUAAUCUUGUGAAACUCU